UUUCUUUUUAUCUUUUUAAACAACCAUAUGAUCCUAGGUGUAUUUCAGAAACUAUGGGGUAACUAGGUGCAAUAUUUUUUAUUUUUUAUUGUCGCCACGCAAGUCGCAUAUCAACUAUUAAUGAUAAUUUGAAUGGUCUUGCAUAUACAAAUUAAUUGGUGAUUUGAUGUUUUAAGACUUAGUAAGCCAUACAAUAAUAAGAAGUCGAUUGAAUUUCUAAAAGUUUAAUCACUAUUAUAGGUGCAUCGACGCGAUGCUUAUGUUCAUAAAAAA